CUUUGCCUCAGAAGAUGUGUGGCUCUUUGCCUCCUAUUGUGUCUGGCUGUCUACCCCAGUCUCCCUUUCCACCUUUCAGCCGAUCCGCAGACGACAACGAGGCCCGGCCCAGGGUAGAUUGGCACAGGGCAAGGACGGGUUCGUCGAAUGAAUGCUCGAGCCGCAUCUCAAGCGGCCAGAAGGGCGCCCAGGCCGCCCCCUGGUGGCCAGGGCGAACGCGGGCCCGCUCGGCGGCCAAAUUUCCCACCAGAGCUUCUCGUAGCCUGAUAAUGACGGACUAAUGCGAGAACUUAACUCCGUUUCACAUAUAACCACAAGAAAGAGGGAGUGAGAGAACGAGCUGAGGAGGGGCAGAGCAUCCAAAGCGGGCUCAGCCCUGACAGCGGAGACCCCCGGAUGCGGGGCUCAGACUUCCUAACCGUGAGAUCGUGACCCGAGCCGAGACCUGACGCUUGACCCGCCGAGCCACCCGGGCGCCCCUCAAAAUCCUUUGAAACGUUGUGGACACGAAGGCACGAUGUACCUACUUUUGUAAAACCCACGAACCCCGAGUGCAGAAGCCCUGGGGGGAGAAACCAAACAUUGCAGGUCCCCCGCCUCCUACCAGGACCCCCUGGGGACCCCCUUCUACUGACUCUCUCCCGGGCAAUCAUUAUCCUCAAGUCAACCAACAGAGAUUUAGUUGUGCCUGUUCUAGAACUUCAUGCAAAUAGAAUCAAACCGU